rnacentral:rRNA from 1 species
AACGAACGCUGGCGGCAUGCCUAACACAUGCAAGUCGAACGAGACCUUCGGGUCUAGUGGCGCACGGGUGCGUAACGCGUGGGAACCUGCCCUUAGGUUCGGAAUAACUCCCCGAAAGGGGUGCUAAUGCCGGAUAAUGUAUUCGGACAAAAGAUUUAUCGCCUUUGGGUGGGCCCGCGUUGGUUUAGCUAGUUGGUAGGGUAAAAGCCUACCAAGGCGACGAUCCAUAGCUGGUCUGAGAGGAUGAUCAGCCACACUGGGACUGAGACACGGCCCAGACUCCUACGGGAGGCAGCAGUGGGGAAUAUUGGACAAUGGGCGAAAGCCUGAUCCAGCAAUGCCGCGUGAGUGAUGAAGGCCUUAGGGUUGUAAAGCUCUUUUACCCGGGAUGAUAAUGACAGUACCGGGAGAAUAAGCUCCGGCUAACUCCGUG